AACAGGAUUAGAUACCCGGGUAGUCCACGCUGUAAACGAUGAUUACUCGAUGUGUGCAAUAUAUCGUACGCGUCUAAGCAAAAGCAUUAAGUAAUCCACCUGGGGAGUACGGCGGCAACGCUGAAACUCAAAGGAAUUGACGGGGGCCCGCACAAGCGGAGGAACAUGUGGUUUAAUUCGAUGAUACGCGAGGAACCUUACCUGGGUUUGAACGUAGGACGACCGGUGCCGAAAGGUGCCUUCUCUUCGGAGCGGCCUACGAGGUGCUGCAUGGUUGUCGUCAGCUCGUGCCGUGAGGUGUCGGAUUAAGUUCCAUAACGAGCGCAACCCUUAUCGUUAGUUGCCAUCGGGUCAUGCCGGGGACUCUAACGAAACUGCCGGUGUAAACCGUGAGGAAGGUGGGGAUGACGUCAAAUCAGCACGGCCCUUACAUCCAGGGCCACACACGUGUUACAAUGGC
rnacentral:rRNA from 1 species